UGUAUAUAUGCGUUGCGAGCCACGAUUCGGCAAUGAAGACAAAAAAAAAAAAAAAAAAGAGAAAAGACGAAUAGAAAGAAAAGGAACGAAAAACUGAAAAUGGCGCACGGCCAUGACUGUACAGCAUAGUAGUAGUAUAGUAUCCUCGACGACGAGAGCUGUGCACGGCUAAAGGGUUGAACGUCCUGCUAACCCACUUUCUCCUCUUGUGCACAGACACGUUGGAUGCACUCAGCUGUUUUAUUUUGUAUCUGUUUUAGAAUAAGAAUGGCGAAAUGUUUGAGUCGAAAAAAAAAAAAAGACAAACAGCUUCACAGAAACAACGAAUGGAAGGUAUUUGAUGAAUGUGUAUGUGUGGCGCAGAACUGAUUGUGUAUCGAAACAAGCGAUCCGAAAAAUCAUGGCCGCCGACCUCCAUUGCUUUUAUUUUGUACGUUGCCUUUUUUUUUUUUUUUGCUGUGUUUUCGAUGCCAUAAUUCCGGUUUGUCCAGUUUUCUUUCGUUUUGCUUUAUAUUUAUGGUCAUCAACGGGACCUUCUCGACAGAUAAGAAUUCAAGAGAAAUAUUAUACGUUUUCUAGGACACACUAACACACACACAAUGGAUGUUGAUUCUCGGUUGUCUUCACCACGAGGUUGGACAUUUUGUUUGCAAAUCUUCAUUUCGUCAGAAAAUCAUUGGUAUUACAGUCAGUUGAUAUAUUUCGAUUAACUCCGUCGUCUUUACUUGUGAUCUUGCAUUUCAGUUUUAUUUAGCCAAACGGACGCCUUUUCGUUUUCAUUUAUUUUUUUUUUUGCAGCAACACCAUAAAUGAGGAUUGACUGUGAAAUCCUUUUAAUGAACUUUGUUCGUCUAGGUUAAUGGAACAAAGUUCGCCAUUCCAAAAUCGACAUUUCCAGUUUGGUGCCCCAAAUGGUCCGCUUAUUCAUCCAACAUUGCCCGGUUUUUUUUUUUUUUUUUUUUCAUGACAUAGACUCUGAAGAUUCGGGUUUCUCUCUGAACCCCACGCUUUACAGUCUUUUUUUUCUUUUUUCACGCAACCGGAUUCUCAUCGAAUGGCAGCAGGCAAACACCCAUGAACGUCGUCCGACCUACUUCUCCCAUUUUGCCCACCUAUCUCCCUACAUCUGAUUUAGACACACGGUAUCCAGAGAACCAGUUUUAUUUUUUACAGCACACAAAAGACACUCAUUUCCAUAUCAUCUCCACGAUAUCGAAUUUUUUAAAAAUAGUGUCUGCCUUUUGUUCUAAAUGUUGAAAUGUUUUUUAAACAUUCAAAUGCCUCUUUUAUUUCAACCAUUUUCAGUAGGUUGUUUCUUGGUGAUUCGCUGCAGAUGUGGCCAUGGACGAAACUGGCCUUGAUUCAGCACAUCGUCCGCCAGUUUAAUUAUUUUUUUUUUUUCACUUACGACCUUUUUCAUCAUUUCUAGAUCAUUCAGAGAAGAAAAAUGGUCAAUGUUUUACACCAAAUACUUUCAAGGACUGGACACAACCCAAACAACCACAUAAAUAACUAUUGAAAAAAACAACUAUUAUUCAAUUCUGAUCCACCAUUUUUCGAGGUAAAUCAAGGUCUUAAAUGAUUAAUCUUUCCCUUUUUUCUUUUUUCACCAUAAUAAUAGAAAAUGCAUACAAACCCGGAAGAUUUCUCUCGCCCCCUCGAGUGUCAGUGCAAUCCCGGCCUGUACACAAUUGUGUUCAAAUUCCGUGGAAGUUGCCAUCGUGUGGAAAGCGUUAAGCGGAUAGAAAUUGUACGUAUCAGGCUGGUGUUGGCUUGGCUAAACACUUUCUACAGCAAUGGAUUCCUACCGGAAUCCGUCGAGGUCGCUGUCCUUUUGCAGCUUUAUAUAGACUCUAUACGUCGGUUGGUGCUAACAGUCUAUUGCCACUUUGGAUAUCUAGGAAUUCAGCAUAGAAAAUAACCUUGGUGAGAGGAAACGAUGAAUAGAUAAAAGACGUCCUUAACUUCAGAAGAAAUCGAUCCUCGGCAAAAAGCACUAGGAGCAUGCGAAUUCAAUCAUGAAUAAUGAAUAACAUACGGUAGUCAUCAACAUACCCAAGGUCUUUUUCGUUCAUGUGAACCUAGCAAAUAAUAUUAAUAAGAUAUCAAUCGGCCAUGAAUCGAAGCCUUUGAUGACCGGUAGAAAAGAUACGAAGCUUAAAAAAAAAAAAUUAAGAAGAAGAAGAAAAAUGGGGGGGCCGUCUUCCCAUUUCCGUCAUGACCUCUCUCAUCGAGUCAAGUGUGUCAACAGACCGUCCCGGUGUCCGUCUCUCUUUCUGUUUGAUGAUAAUCAAAGCCAUUCCUCCAUGGCUUUGACGUUUGGAAAAAGAAAGAAAUUUUUUUUUUUUUUUUUCACGAACCGUUCGGAAAAGACACAAACGCCAUCUAGAAACGAGAAACUAAACAAAAAAGAAAUGUUGUAUUCAGUCAAACAUCAAUCAAUUGUAUGUUAUGAAAACAAAUAUUUAAAAAAAGAUACUUGUUAUGUGUAAUUAUCAAGCGAGAUAAAGUUAUUGAUCGCCAUAAAAGCAGCUUCUAAGGGAAGGCAUGAAAA